GACGAACCGAGCGAACGUUGUUCGGAAUCACUGGGCUUAAAGGGCGCGUAGGCGGGCCCGGCCAGUCUGUGGUGAAAGUCCUCCGGCUCAACCGGAGAACUGCCUCGGAUACUGCGGGUCUCGAGGGUCGAUAGGGGUAUGCGGAACUCAUCGGUGGAGCGGUGAAAUGCGUUGAUAUCGAGUAGGAAGCUCCGGUGGCGAAGGCGGCAUACUGGAUCACUUCUGAGCGCUGGAGGCGACGGAAAGCCAGGGGAGCAAACGGG
rnacentral:rRNA from 1 species